rnacentral:rRNA from 1 species
GUCCACGCAGUAAACGAUGAAUACUAGCUGUUGGCGAUAUAAUGUCAGCGGUACAGCGAAAGUGUUAAGUAUUCCACCUGGGGAGUACGCCGGCAACGGUGAAACUCAAAGGAAUUGACGGGGGCCCGCACAAGCGGAGUAACAUGUGGUUUAAUUCGAUGAUACGCGAGGAACCUUACCCGGGCUUGAAAGUUAGUGACGGACUUGGAAACAGGUCUUUCCUUCGGGACACGAAACUAGGUGCUGCAUGGUUGUCGU